rnacentral:rRNA from 1 species
UACAGAGGGGGCAAGCGUUAUUCGGAAUUAUUGGGCGUAAAGGGCGCGUAGGCGGCUUGGCAAGUGGAUGGUGAAAUCCCUCGGCUUAACCGAGGAACUGCCGUCCAAACUGCUUCGCUUGAGACCGGGAGAGGUGAGUGGAAUUCCCAGUGUAGCGGUGAAAUGCGUAGAUAUUGGGAGGAACACCAGUGGCGAAGGCGGCUCACUGGACCGGUACUGACGCUGAGACGCGAAAGCGUGGGGAGCAAACAGG